rnacentral:rRNA from 1 species
CCUACGGGUGGCAGCAGUAGGGAAUCUUUCACAAUGGGCGAAAGCCUGAUGGAGCAACGCCGCGUGCAGGAUGAAGGCCUUCGGGUUGUAAACUGCUUUUAUAAGCGAGGAAUAUGAUGGUAACUUAUGAAUAAGGAUCGGCUAACUACGUGCCAGCAGCCGCGGUCAUACGUAGGAUCCGAGCAUUAUCCGGAGUGACUGGGUGUAAAGAGUUGCGUAGGUGGCAUAAUAAGUAGCUAGUGAAAGCUGGUGGCUCAACCAUUCAGACUAUUAGCUAAACUGUUAAGCUCGAGACCGUUAGGGGUAACUGGAAUUUCUAGUGUAGGAGUGAAAUCCGUAGAUAUUAGAAGGAACACCAAUAGCGUAGGCAGGUUGCUGGGACGGUUCUGACACUAAGGCACGAAAGCGUAGGGAGCAAACGGGAUUAGAUACCCCAGUAGUC